AUUUUUUUUUAAGGGCGGCUUUCCCUAUUUUUUUUUUAAUUUUUAAUUUUUUUCUGCCCCUCCCGGCCUCCUCCGCGAAGAGAGAGGUGUGCUCGGGUCCUCUGCUGAGGGAGAGGGUCUAUGGUGAUAGCACGGGGGUGGUGAGGGCUGAGGAGGGGUCUCGCCGCCGCCCCCGCCGCCGUUGAGGAGGAGGAGAGGGAGGAGGAAGAGGCGAGGCACGGCACCAUUUGCUGCUCCCUGCCCCAGCCAUGGAGAACGCGCACACAAAGACUGUGGAGGAAGUUUUGGCUUAUUUCGGCGUCAACGAGAGCACCGGGCUCAGCCUCGAGCAAGUGAAGAAGCUGAAGGAGAAAUGGGGCUCCAACGAGCUGCCGGCAGAGGAAGGAAAAACCUUACUCGAGCUCGUGAUUGAACAAUUUGAAGACUUACUAGUUAGAAUUUUGUUGCUGGCCGCUUGCAUAUCUUUUGUCCUGGCCUGGUUUGAAGAAGGUGAAGAAACAAUCACAGCAUUUGUAGAGCCUUUUGUAAUCUUACUCAUAUUAGUAGCCAAUGCAAUUGUGGGAGUGUGGCAGGAAAGAAAUGCUGAAAAUGCUAUUGAAGCUCUUAAAGAAUAUGAACCAGAGAUGGGCAAAGUGUAUCGACAGGACAGAAAAAGUGUCCAGAGGAUUAAAGCAAGAGACAUUGUCCCAGGUGAUAUCGUGGAAGUGGCAGUUGGAGACAAGGUUCCUGCUGAUAUAAGAAUUACUUCUAUCAAAUCUACAACUCUAAGGGUAGACCAGUCAAUUCUCACAGGUGAAUCUGUGUCUGUUAUUAAGCACACAGACCCUGUGCCUGAUCCUCGUGCUGUAAAUCAAGACAAGAAGAACAUGCUCUUUUCUGGCACAAACAUUGCUGCUGGCAAGGCCAUGGGGGUGGUUAUCGCCACGGGGGUGAACACCGAGAUCGGGAAGAUCCGCGACGAGAUGGUGGCCACGGAGCAGGAGAGAACCCCCCUGCAGCAGAAGCUGGACGAGUUUGGGGAGCAGCUGUCCAAGGUGAUCUCCCUGAUCUGCAUCGCCGUGUGGAUCAUCAACAUCGGCCACUUCAACGACCCCGUGCACGGCGGCUCCUGGAUCCGCGGCGCCAUUUACUACUUCAAGAUCGCCGUGGCGCUGGCGGUGGCCGCCAUCCCCGAGGGCCUCCCCGCCGUCAUCACCACCUGCCUGGCGCUGGGGACGCGCAGGAUGGCCAAGAAGAACGCCAUCGUCAGGAGCCUGCCCUCCGUGGAGACCCUGGGCUGCACCUCGGUCAUCUGCUCCGACAAGACGGGCACGCUGACCACCAACCAGAUGUCCGUGUGCAGGAUGUUUAUCCUGGACAGAGUAGAAGGAGACAGCUGCUCUCUGAAUGAAUUUACUGUAACUGGUUCAACAUAUGCUCCCAUGGGAGAAGUGCAUAAAGAUGACAAACUCAUUAAAUGCAGCCAGUAUGAUGGUCUUGUGGAACUUGCAACGAUCUGUGCUCUCUGCAAUGAUUCCUCUUUGGAUUACAAUGAAGCUAAGGGAGUUUAUGAGAAGGUUGGAGAAGCCACGGAGACGGCGCUGACGUGCCUGGUUGAGAAGAUGAACGUGUUUGACACCGACCUGAAGGGACUCUCCCGAAUCGAGCGCGCCAACGCCUGCAACUCGGUGAUAAAACAACUGAUGAAGAAAGAAUUCACUCUGGAAUUCUCCAGAGACAGGAAGUCCAUGUCUGUCUAUUGCACUCCGAACAAACCGAGCCGCACGUCCAUGAGCAAAAUGUUUGUUAAGGGUGCUCCUGAAGGUGUGAUUGACAGAUGCACACAUGUCCGUGUUGGAAAUGCUAAAAUACCUUUGACCUCAGGAAUUAAGCAGAAAAUAAUGUCUGUCAUUAGAGAAUGGGGAACUGGCAGAGACACACUGCGUUGCUUGGCCCUGGCAACCCAUGACAAUCCUCCCAAAAAAGAGGAAAUGAAUCUGGAGGACUCCUCAAAUUUCAUUAACUAUGAGACCAACCUGACAUUUGUGGGCUGCGUGGGAAUGCUGGAUCCCCCGAGGAUUGAGGUGGCCUCAUCCAUAAAGCUGUGCAGGCAGGCUGGCAUCAGGGUCAUCAUGAUCACUGGGGACAACAAGGGCACGGCCGUGGCCAUCUGCCGCCGCAUCGGCAUCUUUGUGGAGGACGAGGACGUGUCCACCAAGGCCUUCACGGGCAGGGAGUUUGAUGAGCUGUCCCUGGCUGCCCAGAGGGAUGCCUGCCACCAUGCCCGCUGCUUUGCCCGCGUGGAGCCUUCCCACAAAUCCAAAAUCGUGGAGUUCCUGCAGUCCUUCGAUGAGAUCACAGCCAUGACUGGUGAUGGUGUCAAUGAUGCCCCUGCACUGAAGAAAGCAGAAAUUGGAAUUGCCAUGGGCUCUGGUACUGCCGUGGCCAAAACUGCUUCUGAAAUGGUUUUAGCAGAUGACAAUUUCUCCACAAUUGUGGCUGCUGUGGAAGAAGGACGUGCAAUUUAUAACAACAUGAAACAGUUCAUCCGAUACCUGAUCUCCUCCAAUGUUGGGGAAGUUGUUUGCAUCUUCCUGACUGCUGCCCUGGGUUUCCCUGAGGCUCUGAUUCCUGUCCAGCUGCUGUGGGUGAACCUUGUGACUGAUGGUUUGCCUGCCACUGCCCUGGGCUUCAACCCUCCCGACCUGGACAUCAUGAACAAACCCCCACGGAACCCCAAGGAGCCCCUCAUCAGUGGCUGGCUCUUCUUCCGCUACCUGGCUAUUGGAUGCUACGUUGGUGCUGCCACAGUGGGUGCUGCUGCUUGGUGGUUUAUUGCUGCUGAUGGUGGUCCAAAAGUUUCCUUUUACCAGCUGAGCCAUUUUCUGCAGUGCAAGGAGGACAAUCCAGACUUCUAUGGGGUGGACUGUGUGGUGUUUGAGUCCCCGUACCCGAUGACAAUGGCUCUGUCUGUGCUGGUCACCAUCGAGAUGUGCAAUGCUCUCAACAGCCUGUCAGAAAACCAGUCCCUGAUGAGGAUGCCCCCGUGGGAGAACAUCUGGCUGGUGGGGGCCAUUUGCUUGUCCAUGUCCCUCCACUUCCUCAUCCUUUAUGUGGAACCACUGCCAAUCAUCUUCCAGAUCACCCCUCUGAACGUGACGCAGUGGCUGAUGGUAUUGAAAAUCUCCCUCCCUGUCAUUCUGCUGGAUGAAACUCUUAAAUAUGUGGCCCGUAACUACCUGGAACCUGGUAAAGAUGAUAGUGUGCGGCCUGCCACCAAACCCUGUGCUCUGUCAGCAUGCACCGAAGGAGUUUCCUGGCCGUUUGUGUUCAUUACUCUGCCCCUGGUUAUCUGGCUUUACAGCACAGACACUAACUUUAGUGAUAUGUUCUGGUCUUGACUGACAUGGUGACGAGUUUUACAUUCAAAGGAGAAAAAAAAAAGUUUAACUUAAUUUUUUUAUUGUUUAGAGCAACUGUCUAUUUCUGCUGAAUUUUCACAUGAACAUAUUUGCCGGUGAUGGAGGUUUCAUAAUCUAGAUUUUGGUUUUUUGCUUUUUCUGACUUCAGUGGGGGCAAUAUAUUCCUCUUUUAUACACAGUUAAAGUGUCCAUUGACAUGUACAGAGAACUAACACUAUUUUAUGCAAAUAUUUUUUUGUAGAUGAAAAGCAUGUACAGUGUUCUGUUCAAUAGUCUAUUCAUCAUGUAAAAAAAAGUAAAUUUUUUUUGAGCCAGCGGACACUAUCAAACUAAAUUGGCAGCAGAUUUUAGGGAAUGAAUGUGUGUUGUCUAAAACUAAAAAAGCAUGUAACUGUUUGUCUUCUGCAUGAUCAUCCAAACUUAAUUUGUCAUGAAGUCAGGUUUUGUUCACAAGCAGAACUUUCUGCACUGGGUAGAGUCCUGCUCCCCAGGUCAGGAUUUCUUCUCGGUCCCCUCUUCCCUCACUCUCGGUUCUUGACUGUCCUUGUUUACACCACUUUCUGUAUGAGGUAUGCCUGAUCUUGCUCGUGCAGAAAAUACCAUUCCAGGUGCAGCCUGCUGGGGUUCUUCCAUACUCUCCACACACAUAGGGUUGGUUUUUUUUAAGGAUUAUUUAUUUGUCUAUUGUAUUUUAUUGUAACAGACCUUACUUUGCUAGUGUUGCCCAUUAUGCAGGGAUAGGGAGGGCUACUUCUGUCUAAAGCCUUUUUAACACACACACACACAAUCUGUUUCAGUUCAAAAGAGGGUUUAAGUUGGGGUUUAAUACCUUUUUUACACAUGUCAGAGCCUUUCUUUUUAUUUCUUUUUUUUCCCCCUCUAAGAUCAAAAUUUGCAAUGAGACCUGAAAAAACAACUUGCACUGCAUAGCUAGAAAUUGGAUUUCCUACACUUAGGGCACUAAUGCUCAGUUGUAUACAUGGAGUUACUCUGCUGGCCUGUUGUUAGCCUGACUUGAAGUAACAAGCUCGUGUGUGUUUUUUGUAAAAUCUGUAAAUAGCACAUGACCAAAUUGAACAUAUUGUAUAGAACUAUUUUUAUUUUAAUGUGGCACUAACCACCUUCAUUAUUACGGUAAAUGUUAAAGCAUGUUUUCAAAUUCAGUCCUGUAUCAACAAUGUGUAAGUCAUUAACAGUCCUAACUGUGGUGUUUUUCUCCAAUGCCUUCCAACUUUCAUCGACUAAACAAUACUGGAGUAAUCGCUUCCUAAACAAUUUUGCAGAAAUGUAAGGUUGUUUUGUUGCGUGCAUGUGUUUUUAGCAACACAUCUACCAAAACUUCUGCAUGUAUCGUGUAAAGAUUCUUUGCUUUCCCUUAAAAACAAAACUCAUUGUGUUCUCUGUGGAAGAAAUGUGUGGUACCAUUAGGACUUCAUGAUACAGAUGUACAAACGUGCAAUAUAGCUUACCAAGCUGGAACUCUCUCCAGAGAAGUUGGGUUUCUGUGCUGCAUGGAGAAGAGUUUGGUUAUCCUUGAGCAAGAAUUGCGGAGCUGUCAGCCGAUUUCCAUAUUCCUGUAUGUAAAAUGUCAGUUUAUACAAUGUACAAUAUCAGAUAAUGCAUGCCUUGGGGUGUAGACAGAUCUCUCUGUAUUGUAUCAUCCAAACAUCCUACUCCAACAGCUUCUGUACAAUGCUCUCCUAUUUAUAAAUCCAUGGAAACGAUUACAGAUGAAUGUUAAACCGUAAGCCUCCACUUCAUAACGUUGGAUUUUUUUAUCAUCUGUGCAAAUCGACCUCUUUUCCACUGUAAUGUAACUUAUUUAAAUCUAAGGCAGUAAGACAGAUGUUGGUGCAAUACAAAAUAUCGUGAUGCAUUUAUCUAAAAAGCAACAACGACGUAGCCAGUUCCCACAGCUGCAUGUGUGACCUUUAGAAGUUGUAAAUAAGAUCAAUUGUCUAUUGACAUGCUGACAGUAAAGGAGCAUCACACCUAGUUUCAUUUGUAUCAGGUAAAUAAAUUUAUUCUACAAUACGUGCUCGGCGUGUUAUUUGAUGCACUUUGUUUCUGCAGGUCCGUGUGGGCUCUGCAGCGCGCUCUCAUUUUAAUGCCAGGAUGCCACUUUUAGCACCAACACCAUUGCAAUCUUUCCUCCUAGAACUGCAAUCUUUCCUCCUAGAACUAUGCAGAUGCAGCUGCUCCUCGGCAGUAUUGACCUCCUCGCUGGUGUGAUUUCCUCUGUCCAGGGGCUUGUGUGUGUGUUUAAGGGACACUGUCAAGUACUUUGAUCACUCAGUUUUUUUAAAAUGCUCCAUUGUUUGUAAAAUCCCUCUGAGAAACGUAAAAUAAACAAUUCUUUCCCAACUACA